UUAAUUACUAAGAACAAGACUAGUAGCAAGUUCGGUCUUUGACAGGGAGGUUUCUUGGCAACUGAAAGGAAACCAAAGAGCGGCUUGCGAAUUUCAUCUUGCGAGUAGGAUCUAAUCAAUUCCGGCUGCCACCGUUAUCGGUAUAGAGCGUAGGCCUUUUUGGGCCUAAACUAGGGUGGUACCGCGAAGCUUCGUCCCUUUU
rfam:Lactobacillus delbrueckii subsp. bulgaricus ATCC 11842 complete genome